rnacentral:rRNA from 1 species
AAUGAACGUUGGCGGCAUGGAUUAGGCAUGCAAGUCGAGCGAGAAGCGUAGCAAUACACGGAAAGCGGCGGAAGGGAGAGUAAUACGUGGGAAUCUGCCCUUAGACCUGGGAUAGCAGCGGGAAACUGCUGGUAAUACCAGAUAAUGUCUAUGGACCAAAGGUGUGAUUCCGUCUAGGGAUGAGCCCACGUCCUAUUAGCUAGUUGGUAGGGUAAUGGCCUACCAAGGCGAUGAUGGGUAGCGGGUGUGAGAGCAUGACCCGCCUCACUGGGACUGGGACACUGCCCAGACACCUACGGGUGGCUGCAGUCGAGAAUCUUCGGCAAUGGGCGCAAGCCUGACCGAGCGAUGCCGCGUGCGGGAUGAAGGCCUUCGGGUUGUAAACCGCUGUCGAGGGGGAGCAACUUCCAUAGAGUUAUCUUUAUGGAUUGAGUGAUCCCUGGAGGAAGGACGGGCUAAGUUCGUGCCAGCCGCCGCAGUAACAC